rnacentral:misc_RNA from 1 species
GGCGACGAACCGGGGAGCC